UACGGGGGGGAGCAAGCGUUGUUCGGAUUUACUGGGCGUAAAGGGCGCGUAGGCGGCCACCGCAAGUCGGUUGUGAAAUCUCUGGGCUUAACCCAGAAAGGUCAACCGAUACUGCGGGGCUAGAGUGCAGAAGGGGCAACUGGAAUUCUCGGUGUAGCGGUGAAAUGCGUAGAUAUCUGGAGGAACACCGGUGGCGAAGGCGGCGUCCUGGACCAACACUGACACUGAUGAGCGAAAGCCAGGGGAGCAAACGGGG
rnacentral:rRNA from 1 species